rnacentral:rRNA from 1 species
CACGUGGGCAUCUGCCCUUCACUCUGGGACAAGCCCUGUGAAACGGGGUCUAAUACCGGAUACCACUACCGCAGGCAUCUGUGGUGGUUGAAAGCUCCGGCGGUGAAGGAUGAGCCCGCGGCCUAUCAGCUUGUUGGUGAGGUAAUGGCUCACCAAGGCGACGACGGGUAGCCGGCCUGAGAGGGCGACCGGCCACACUGGGACUGAGACACGGCCCAGACUCCUACGGGAGGCAGCAGUGGGGAAUAUUGCACAAUGGGCGAAAGCCUGAUGCAGCGACGCCGCGUGAGGGAUGACGGCCUUCGGGUUGUAAACCUCUUUCAGCAGGGAAGAAGCGAAAGUGACGGUACCUGCAGAAGAAACGCCGGCUAACUACGUGCCAGCAGCCGCGGGUAAUACGUAGGGCGCAAGCGUUGUCCGGAAUUAUUGGGCGUAAAGAGCUCGUAAGCGGCUUGUCACGUCGGGUGUGAAAGCCCGGGGGCUUAACCCCGGGUCUGCCAUUCGAUACGGGCUAGAGUAGAGUGUGGUAAGGGAA